rnacentral:misc_RNA from 1 species
UUUCCGUAGGUGAACCUGCGGAAGGAUCAUUAUUGUAUAACCGAGGUGCGAGGGCUGUCGCUGACCCGAAAGGUCGUGCACGCCCGAGUGCCCUCACACACAUCCAUCUCACCCCUAUGUGCACCACCGCGUGGGUCACCCUUUGGCUUGUUCGGAGGGGGGCUUACGUCUUCACACAAACUUUGUAUGCAGUGUAGAAUGUAUUUUUUGUUUUUGCGAUCACGCAAUCAAUACAACUUUCAACAACGGAUCUCUUGGCUCUC